ensembl:lncRNA
CAGAAUUGGCUCCUGGUCAGUGGUUCCGCGGCGCCUUCGCAGGUCCGAAUCUGGAGCCUGCCCAGUAUCGGAGUUCCUAUACCUAGAGUUGAGGCUUUCUGCAGAGGCGCUGAGGGCGGCGAUCCGUCGAUGGGGUCCAGGGUCCUGAAGCUGCGGGAGAGAAGACCAGGACGUGGUUUGAAUAGCUUGCGCCGCCCUCUGGGUCCACCAGUGAGUGGAAGUCCGGGAGGCUCCCGGAAGAAGGUACUUGAGCCGUGCCUUGAAUGACCCAGAGCAGGUUGGCACGUGCGUGCGAGGGAAGAGGGAGCCGUUCUAAGUCUUGGAGGUUGUGUGGGCAAAUGUGAGCCUCACCAUGCCCAACCUAACAAUUUCCUUUUAUCAAAUGACAACUUUAAAAACGGGAGCCAGGUAUUGCUGCAACAAGCUCGUCUUACUUAAAGGAAUGGUUAAUGGAGCGCCAAUCGCUCGGAUAACUGGAUGUUUAAGUAAUAUUAGGGUAUUUGUUCCUCAUUUUCCCUUAAUCUGACACGGAACAUUCUGAAGGGUGAGGUAAAGUUUCCCUCUGUUAGCAGUGACCAUGGCCUUCCCAAAGCAUGCAUUCACACACGCACGCACACACACACACACAUACAUCAGAGACCUCUGCAGUAGGUUCUGAUCUCCUGGUCCGUGCUACAGCCCAAGGCUGAGAAAAAAGCUUAAAGAACUAGAGACAGAGAAACCGGGGGGCCAGGGCAACGAACGCUGCUCAUUCAGCAAAUGCACUGGUCAGUCCAAGGCACUGAUUUGUAUUGGUAAUCAAUUGAGGUAAAGGACAAGACAAAGCAUUCUCGAAUUAGAAACAGAAUAGACAAAAUAUAGGGUUGUAGUUAGAACCUUGUCCUUCUGGUUCAGGAGGUUUUAAUUGUAGGGAUGGAAUUUGGGUGUGAGUUACUCUGACCUUGGCACAUAGGCUUUGCCAGGACUCGAGUCUCAAAACAAGCCAAUUAAGGGGUUAUAACCUAUAACCCUUACUGCUUAUAGCCUGCUUUGUCCAUAAUCAAUAUUUUAGUCCCCUACACAAACACACACACACACACACACACACACACACACACACACACACACUUCCUGAGCCCAAGGGCCAGCAUCCAAGAGGUGCCAUGUAGGCCUGAAUGCCGGGUCUCUAUACAACCGAGUCCCAUCAGGCAGGCUUCAGUCCCACAGGUGAUAACUCAUGUUCUUGGCAGCCUCCCUGUGCUAAAAGGUUGAGUGCCCUUUCAGAGGUUGUUAUUCCUGUUCAGAUGAGCUGUUUCUCACUUGAAAGGUAUGACUGCAGCAGCAGCUCCCUCCUCCUUUCCGUCUGAUCACCCCUUGCUGGGAACAUGGGCCAGUGGCUGUCCACAGACCUCAGGAGUAACUUGAUUAUUUUACCUGUGACUCUUUCCUCUCAAAUCCAGUAUUGUGAUCAUUUUAAUAAUAUACAUGUAGGGCCGGGAUUUAGCUCAGUGGUUCCACCGCCUGCCUGGCAAGCGCAAGGGUCCGAGUUCGAUCCCCAGUACCAAAAAUAAUAAUAAUAAUAAUUAAUAAUAAUAAUAUACAUGUAAAAUGUGAAUAAAUGUGAAUAAUCCAAUUGUGUAUCUAUUCCCAGCCUUUACAUGUCUUUUUUAGGACUUUCUUU